rnacentral:rRNA from 1 species
GUCUCAGGCCGUAUCAGCCUGAAGGCGCCCGAUCUCGUCUGAUCUCGGAAGCUAAGCAGGGUCGGGCCUGGUUAGGAUCUUGGAUGGGAGACCACCUGGGAAUCCCAGGUGCUCGAGGCU